AGCGAACGCUGGCGGCAGGCUUAACACAUGCAAGUCGAGCGGGCACUUUCGGGUGUCAGCGGCGGACGGGUGAGUAACGCGUGGGAACGUGCCCUCUGGUUCGGAAUAACUCAGGGAAACUUGAGCUAAUACCGGAUACGCCCUUUUGGGGAAAGGCUUGCUGCCGGAGGAUCGGCCCGCGUCUGAUUAGCUAGUUGGUGAGGUAACGGCUCACCAAGGCGACGAUCAGUAGCUGGUCUGAGAGGAUGAUCAGCCACACUGGGACUGAGACACGGCCCAGACUCCUACGGGAGGCAGCAGUGGGGAAUAUUGGACAAUGGGCGCAAGCCUGAUCCAGCCAUGCCGCGUGAGUGAUCAAGGCCUUAGGGUUGUAAAGCUCUUUUAUCCGGGACGAUAAUGGCGGUACCGGAGGAAUAAGCCCCGGCUAACUUCGUG
rnacentral:rRNA from 1 species